GCUUACGGCCAUACCAGCCAAAGAACGCCCGGUCUCGUUUGAUCUCGGAAACUAAGAAGGCUUGGGCCUGGUUGGUACUUGGAUGGGAGACCUCCUGGGAAUACCAGGUGCUGUAAGCU
ensembl:rRNA 5S_rRNA 5S ribosomal RNA